UACGUAGGGUGCGAGCGUUAAUCGGAAUUACUGGGCGUAAAGCGUGCGCAGGCGGUUUUGUAAGACAGAUGUGAAAUCCCCGGGCUUAACCUGGGAACUGCAUUUGUGACUGCAUCGCUGGAGUGCGGCAGAGGGGGAUGGAAUUCCGCGUGUAGCAGUGAAAUGCGUAGAUAUGCGGAGGAACACCGAUGGCGAAGGCAAUCCCCUGGGCCUGCACUGACGCUCAUGCACGAAAGCGUGGGGAGCAAACAGG
rnacentral:rRNA from 1 species